rnacentral:rRNA from 1 species
ACCAUGCAAGUCGAACGGCAGCACGGGGGCAACCCUGGUGGCGAGUGGCGAACGGGUGAGUAAUGCAUCGGAACGUGUCCUUAAGUGGGGGAUAACGCACCGAAAGGUGUGCUAAUACCGCAUAAUCUCUACGGAGAAAAGCAGGGGAUCGCAAGACCUUGCGCUUUUGGAGCGGCCGAUGUCUGAUUAGCUAGUUGGUGAGGUAAAGGCUUACCAAGGCGUCGAUCAGUAGCUGGUCUGAGAGGACGACCAGCCACACUGGGACUGAGACACGGCCCAGACUCCUACGGGAGGCAGCAGUGGGGAAUUUUGGACAAUGGGGGAAACCCUGAUCCAGCCAUGCCGCGUGAGUGAAGAAGGCCUUCGGGUUGUAAAGCUCUUUCAGCCGGAACGAAACGGUCACGG